GAUGAACGCUGGCGGCGUGCCUAACACAUGCAAGUCGAACGGAGAUUACGGACGGAAGUUUUCGGAUGGAAGACUGUAAUUCUUAGUGGCGGACGGGUGAGUAACGCGUGGGCAACCUGCCCUAUACAGGGGGAUAGCAGCUGGAAACGGCUGGUAAGACCGCAUAAGUCGGCGAGACCGCAUGGUUUUGCCGGGAAAUGAGCAAUCAGGUAUAGGAUGGGCCCGCGUCCGAUUAGCCAGUUGGCAGGGUAAAAGCCUACCAAAGCAACGAUCGGUAGCCGGACUGAGAGGUCGGACGGCCACAUUGGGACUGAGACACGGCCCAAACUCCUACGGGAGGGAGCAGUGGGGGAUAUUGCACAAUGGAGGAAACUCUGAUGCAGCGACGCCGCGUGAGUGAAGAAGUAUUUCGGUAUGUAAAGCUCUAUCAGCAGGGAAGAUGAUGACGGUACCUGACGAAGAAGCCCCGGCUAACUACGUG
rnacentral:rRNA from 1 species